GAUGAACGCUGGCGGCGUGCCUAAUACAUGCAAGUCGAGCGAACAGACGAGGAGCUUGCUCCUCUGACGUUAGCGGCGGACGGGUGAGUAACACGUGGAUAACCUACCUAUAAGACUGGGAUAACUUCGGGAAACCGGAGCUAAUACCGGAUAAUAUAUUGAACCGCAUGGUUCAAUAGUGAAAGACGGUUUUGCUGUCACUUAUAGAUGGAUCCGCGCCGCAUUAGCUAGUUGGUAAGGUAACGGCUUACCAAGGCAACGGUGCGUAGCCGACCUGAGAGGGUGAACGGCCACAAUGGAACUGAGCCACGGUCCAGACUCCUACGGGAGGCAGCAGUAGGGAAUCUUCCGAAAUGGGGGAAAGCUUGACGGAGCAACGCCGCGUGAGUGAUGAAGGUCUUCGGAUCGUAAAACUCUGUUAUUAGGGAAGAACAAAUGUGUAAGUAACUAUGCACGUCUUGACGGUACCUAAUCAGAAAGCCACGGCUAACUACGUG
rnacentral:rRNA from 1 species